UACGAAGGGGGCUAGCGUUGUUCGGAAUCACUGGGCGUAAAGGGCGCGUAGGCGGCCGAUCAAGUCGGGGGUGAAAGCCUGUGGCUCAACCACAGAAUUGCCUUCGAUACUGUUUGGCUUGAGACCGGAAGAGGUAAGUGGAACUGCGAGUGUAGAGGUGAAAUUCGUAGAUAUUCGCAAGAACACCAGUGGCGAAGGCGGCUUACUGGUCCGGUUCUGACGCUGAGGCGCGAAAGCGUGGGGAGCGAACAGG
rnacentral:rRNA from 1 species